rnacentral:rRNA from 1 species
AGAGUUUGAUCAUGGCUCAGAUUGUACGCUGGCGGCAGGCUUAACACAUGCAAGUCGAACGGUAACAGGAAGGAAGCUUGCUUUCUUUGCUGACGAGUGGCGGACGGGUGAGUAAUGCUUGGGAAUCUGGCUUAUGGAGGGGGAUAACUACGGGAAACUGUAGCUAAUACCGCGUAAUAUCUUCGGAUUAAAGGGUGGGACCGUAAGGCCACCUGCCAUAAGAUGAGCCCAAGUGGGAUUAGGUAGUUGGUGGGGUAAAGGCCUACCAAGCCGACGAUCUCUAGCUGGUCUGAGAGGAUGACCAGCCACACUGGAACUGAGACACGGUCCAGACUCCUACGGGAGGCAGCAGUGGGGAAUAUUGCACAAUGGGGGGAACCCUGAUGCAGCCAUGCCGCGUGAAUGAAGAAGGCCUUCGGGUUGUAAAGUUCUUUCGGUGAUGAGGAAGGCGGUUGUUUUAAUAGAACAAUCGAUUGACGUUAGUCACAGAAGAAGCACCGGCUAACUCCGUGCCAGCAGCCGCGGUAAUACGGAGGGUGCGAGCGUUAAUCGGAAUGACUGGGCGUAAAGGGCACGCAGGCGGUGACUUAAGUGAGAUGUGAAAGCCCCGGGCUUAACCUGGGAAUUGCAUUUCAUACUGGGUCGCUAGAGUAUUUUAGGGAGGGGUAGAAUUCCACGUGUAGCGGUGAAAUGCGCAGAGAUGUGGAGGAAUACCGAAGGCGAAGGCAGCCCCUUGGGAAUAUACUGACGCUCAUGUGCGAAAGCGUGGGGAGCAAACAGGAUUAGAUACCCUGGUAGUCCACGCUGUAAACGCUGUCGAUUUGGGGAUUGGGCUUUAAGCUUGGUGCCCGUAGCUAACGUGAUAAAUCGACCGCCUGGGGAG